CCUACGGGAGGCAGCAGUGGGGAAUUUUGGACAAUGGGCGAAAGCCUGAUCCAGCCAUACCGCGUGCGGGAAGAAGGCCUUCGGGUUGUAAACCGCUUUUGUCAGGGAAGAAAUGCUUCGGGCUAAUACCCUGGGGUGAUGACGGUACCUGAAGAAUAAGCACCGGCUAACUACGUGCCAGCAGCCGCGGUAAUACGUAGGGUGCAAGCGUUAAUCGGAAUUACUGGGCGUAAAGCGUGCGCAGGCGGUUCUAUAAGACAGAUGUGAAAUCCCCGGGCUCAACCUGGGAACUGCAUUUGUGACUGUAGAGCUAGAGUACGGUAGAGGGGGAUGGAAUUCCGCGUGUAGCAGUGAAAUGCGUAGAUAUGCGGAGGAACACCGAUGGCGAAGGCAAUCCCCUGGACCUGUACUGACGCUCAUGCACGAAAGCGUGGGGAACAAACAGGAUUAGAUACCCUGGUAGUCCACGCCCUAAACGAUGUCAACUGGUUGUUGGGAGGGUUUCUCUCAGUAACGAAGCUAACGCGUGAAGUUGACCGCCUGGGGAGUACGGCCGCAAGGUUGAACUCAAAGGAAUUGACGG
rnacentral:rRNA from 1 species